rnacentral:rRNA from 1 species
UACAGGGGGGCAAGCGUUGUUCGGAAUUACUGGGCGUAAAGGGCGCGUAGGCGGCCUCUUAAGUCGAACGUGAAAUCCCCGGGCUUAACCCGGGAACUGCGUCCGAUACUGGAAGGCUUGAAUUCGGGAGAGGAUGCGGAAUUCCAGGUGUAGCGGUGAAAUGCGUAGAUAAUCUGGAGGAACACCGGUGGCGAAGGCGGCAUCCUGGACCGACAUUGACGCUGAUGCGCGAAAGCCAGGGGAGCAA